rfam:Calypte anna contig114502, whole genome shotgun sequence.
UAAAAGGAUUUUCUUGAAUCCAUCACUGUUGAUCAAGAGAAGGGUUU